AUGGCCAUGGCGCCCCACCCACCGGUCCUCCUCCUGCUGCUCCUCGCGCCGCUCCUCCUCUGCUCGCUGCUCCCCGAUGCGGCGCGGGCGGCCGGCGCCGAGGACGCCGGCGUGACCAUCGUGCGCAAGGACGGCACGACCUGCACGCUCUGCGCCUCCUGCGAGAACCCCUGCAACCCCAACCCAGGAUACAACUACCCGUCGCCACCUCCCCCGGCUCAGGGAGGACAAGGUGGAGGAGGAGGAGGCGGUGCGUACCCGACGCCCCCGCCGCCCAACCCGUUCCUGCCCUACUUCCCCUUCUACUACUACAGCCCGCCACCCCAGCUCAAGAGCUCGGCGCCGGCCGUCCCGUCGUCCGCCGCGGCGCCGCCGCUGCUGCUGCUCGCGCUCUCCGGGCUCCUGCUCUGCAGUGAGAACUCUCACCAGUACGCCGACUCAGCUUCAGACGAGGGCAUCAUCAAGAUCCCUGAGACCAUCGAUGACUCUGAUUUCGAGGGCACUGAACCUGAUGUUUUGUGCAAUGAACACUCCCUGCCAGCAGAGAGGCGUGUUGCUUUCCAGGGCAUCCAUACUGGCAGGAGGUUCUUUGCUUGUGCUGUGAAGGAGGGAAGAAAUUGUGGGCUAGUUGAAUGGGUUGAUCCAUUUUGGCCAGCUACAAUGGAGAAUGCAUUGACCAAGUUGUGGGAUAAGUAUGAAGAGUGCGGGAGGAGCAAGAUUGAGGACAAUCUGGGAAGCUCAUUUGCUGUUCACAAUCUGACACAACAGAAGAUCAAGCUGCAGGCAAGUUAUGAGAGGUUGGUUGAAGAUGUCAACGACCUUUUGGAUAGGAGCAGAGGGCUCAGAUGGAGAGAGGUGAAGCUUGCUGAAGAGAAGAUUAAGUUGCAGGCCCACAUUGAUGAGCUUGAGAAGGUUGCCGAGCAGACCAAGCUGAAGCUGAAUGGGAUCAAAGCCAUCUUAGAUGAAUGA
rnacentral:rRNA from 1 species